rnacentral:rRNA from 1 species
GACGAACGCUGGCGGCGUGCUUAACACAUGCAAGUCGAGCGGAGCGGCGAACGGGUGAGUAACGCGUGAGUAACCUCCCCCCUCUCUGGGAUAACAGUUGGAAACGGCUGCUACUACCGGUACGUGGGGGAUGACUCGCGUCGUGUCAGCUUGUUGGUGGGGUAGUGGCCUACCAACGCGACGAUGGGUAGCCGGCCUGAGUGGGCGACCGGCCACAUUGGGAUGAGAUAGAGCCCAAACUCCGACGGGAGGCAGCAGUGGGGAAUGUUGAACAAUGGGGGAAACCCUGAUGCAGCAACGCCGGGUGCGGGAUGACGGACUUCGGGUUGUAAGCCGCUUUCAGCCAUGACGCGGUAGUGGCAGAAGAAGCACCGGCUAACUACGUGCCAGCAGCCGCGGUAAUUC